UGCNGUCGAGCGGANGAGAAGAGCUUGCUCUUCGAUUCAGCGGCGGACGGGUGAGUAAUGCCUAGGAAUCUGCCUGGUAGUGGGGGACAACGUUUCGAAAGGAACGCUAAUACCGCAUACGUCCUACGGGAGAAAGCAGGGGACCUUCGGGCCUUGCGCUAUCAGGUGAGCCUAGGUCGGAUUAGCUAGUUGGUGAGGUAAUGGCUCACCAAGGCGACGAUCCGUAACUGGUCUGAGAGGAUGAUCAGUCACACUGGAACUGAGACACGGUCCAGACUCCUACGGGAGGCAGCAGUGGGGAAUAUUGGACAAUGGGCGAAAGCCUGAUCCAGCCAUGCCGCGUGUGUGAAGAAGGUCUUCGGAUUGUAAAGCACUUUAAGUUGGGAGGAAGGGCAUUAACCUAAUACGUUAGUGUUUUGACGUUACCGACAGAAUAAGCACCGGCUAACUCUGUGCCAGCAGCCGCGGUAAUACAGAGGGUGCAAGCGUUAAUCGGAAUUACUGGGCGUAAAGCGCGCGUAGGUGGUUUGUUAAGUUGGAUGUGAAAGCCCCGGGCUCAACCUGGGAACUGCAUCCAAAACUGGCAAGCUAGAGUACGGUAGAGGGUGGUGGAAUUUCCUGUGUAGCGGUGAAAUGCGUAGAUAUAGGAAGGAACACCAGUGGCGAANGCGACCACCUGGACUGAUACUGACACUGANGUGCGAAAGCGUGGGGAGCAAACAGGANUAGAUACCCUGGUAGUCCACGCCGUAAACGAUGUCAACUANCCGUUGGNAUCCUUGAGAUUUUAGNNGNNCGGCUAGCGCAUUAAGUUGACCNGCCNGGGGAGUANNGCCGCAAGGUAAAACUCNAAUGA
rnacentral:rRNA from 1 species